rnacentral:rRNA from 1 species
GACCUCAAAUCGGGUGAGACUACCCGCUGAACUUAAGCAUAUCAAUA